rnacentral:rRNA from 1 species
AGGCGUAGCUUGCUACCCGCUGACGAGCGGCGGACGGGUGAGUAAUGCAUAGGAAUCUGCCCGGUAGUGGGGGAUAACCUGGGGAAACCCAGGCUAAUACCGCAUACGUCCUACGGGAGAAAGGGGGCUCCGGCUCCCGCUAUUGGAUGAGCCUAUGUCGGAUUAGCUAGUUGGUGAGGUAAUGGCUCACCAAGGCGACGAUCCGUAGCUGGUCUGAGAGGAUGAUCAGCCACAUCGGGACUGAGACACGGCCCGAACUCCUACGGGAGGCAGCAGUGGGGAAUAUUGGACAAUGGGCGAAAGCCUGAUCCAGCCAUGCCGCGUGUGUGAAGAAGGCCCUCGGGUUGUAAAGCACUUUCAGCGAGGAAGAACGCCUAGUGGUUAAUACCCACUAGGAAAGACAUCACUCGCAGAAGAAGCACCGGCUAACUCCGUGCCAGCAGCCGCGGUAAUACGGAGGGUGCAAGCGUUAAUCGGAAUUACUGGGCGUAAAGCGCGCGUAGGUGGCUUGAUAAGCCGGUUGUGAAAGCCCCGGGCUCAACCUGGGAACGGCAUCCGGAACUGUCAAGCUAGAGUGCAGGAGAGGAAGGUAGAAUUCCCGGUGUAGCGGUGAAAUGCGUAGAGAUCGGGAGGAAUACCAGUGGCGAAGGCGGCCUUCUGGACUGACACUGACACUGAGGUGCGAAAGCGUGGGUAGCAAACAGGAUUAGAUACCCUGGUAGUCCACGCCGUAAACGAUGUCGACCAGCCGUUGGGUGCCUAGCGCACUUUGUGGCGAAGUUAACGCGAUAAGUCGACCGCCUGGGGAGUACGGCCGCAAGGUUAAAACUCAAAUGAAUUGACGGGGGCCCGCACAAGCGGUGGAGCAUGUGGUUUAAUUCGAUGCAACGCGAAGAACCUUACCUACUCUUGACAUCCUGCGAACUUGUGAGAGAUCACUUGGUGCCUUCGGGAACGCAGAGACAGGUGCUGCAUGGCUGUCGUCAGCUCGUGUUGUGAAAUGUUGGGUUAAGUCCCGUAACGAGCGCAACCCUUGUCCUUAUUUGCCAGCGCGUAAUGGCGGGAACUCUAAGGAGACUGCCGGUGACAAACCGGAGGAAGGUGGGGACGACGUCAAGUCAUCAUGGCCCUUACGAGUAGGGCUACACACGUGCUACAAUGGCCGGUACAAAGGGUUGCGAGCUCGCGAGAGUCAGCUAAUCCCGAAAAGCCGGUCUCAGUCCGGAUCGGAGUCUGCAACUCGACUCCGUGAAGUCGGG